GGUUUUAUAGUUUAAUUAAGAAUAUUAAAUUGCAAGUUUAGUGGUACUGUUUAUGUUAAAGCUU
rnacentral:tRNA from 1 species